ACAGCGAUUGGUUGACCAAUGACGUUUCCUUUCCUGACUGUCCUGAUCCGGAUUUCUUGUUUUUUUUUUGCCAGGUGACUUCCUGUAUAUCCGAAUCGGGAAAACCUUCCCGCGUAUCCUCGGCUGUCCGCGUUGUCUUUUUGCCGGGAGGUCCGUCGACCACCGCUCGGGGUCAAGGUCAUUCGGUAAAGGGGGCGACGUGACGCCGGGUGGACACCUGGCGCUGAUGACGUUUGGCCUCGCGUGACCUCGCCGCCAACCCCAAACAGCCCCUCAACAAGAAAACUGAAACCACUAAGUGACUAAAUGCCCUCAGGGCACACACACACACACCUUUUCCAUUGUUGACCACUCCAGCACGCCCGCAUCCCGAUUGGCCUGAAGUCUUGGCGCGUCUCUGAUCCCGCAAGCUCCGCGUGAGGCCCAAAACACUCACCACGGCCACGGUUCCGCCGCUCCGGCCUCCUCCUCGGCUCAAGGAUAUGCGACAUUUUGUGACGAUGCAAAGAACCGUUUGGCGAUUUCCAGCAACAGACAACAAGAAUCCGAUAAGGACUGAAAGAAAGCAGAAAACUAAAUCCAAGCAAAGUUCUCCAAGACGUCAUUCUAAGACUUUUUAGCCGUCUCAGAGCUCAGAGCCGUUGCUCUCGUCGACACCGCGCUUUGGGACCGCUUUGCUACCUCAGAGCCUGGACCCGAUCCUCUUGUCGACACCACGCUUCAGGGCCGCUUUGCUACCUCAGAGCCUGGACCCGUUCCUCUCGUCGACACCGCGCUUUGGGGCCGCUUUGCUACCCCAGACCCUGGACCUGUUCCUCUCGUCGACACCACGCUUUGGGACCGCUUUGCUACCCCAGAGCCCGGACCCGUUCCUCUCGUCGACACCACGCUUUGGGACCGCUUUGCUACCUCUGACGCCGGACGCAGAGUUAUCAUCGCCAAGACGACGGAAUUCAAUCGGGAACGAAACGGCUUCAACAGAAGAAAAUGCUGGGCAGAGUCCCGACCUCAACACCAUGAAGACGUUUCGCCAUCCAUUGACAUCACAUGUCCAAGUAAAUGGAUGUUUAAAUGACACUUUUUUUUUUUUUUUUUUUUUUUUUUAUAACUAGGCUGCAAAAAUGUGGUGGAAUUAUCAAGAAAGACACAAAUGUCCACUUUGUGCGCUCUUGCUUGACGGACACAGUCCACUUCUGAUGUGUUGACAUCCAAUUUGGGUGCAUCUCAUUUCUUUGUUUUGCGUUUCCUACCUCCGACGGACGGAUGGGUCGAUGUCCACCUCUCCGCCUCCUUCUUCUCUCCUUCAUCACGACGACACAUCGACCUCAAAUGCACAUUUUGACAACCACAGAAUGCAAAAUUCUCACCAUCCGCGCUGUAAAGAUAUAAUUAACCAUUUGUGAAUAAGUGGGGUAGCCUACAUAAUUUACACGAGUCCAAAAUGUUUUCCUCAAAGAUUUCACUGUAACUAACCACUCAUUAAUUAAUGUGAAAAUCUUUGACAAAGAAACAAAUGAUAUUUAAGCUCUUGCAACUACUCCUAAUGCUAAUGUCGAAUUUAAGGCUUUAAUAAUCCCGUUGUAGACGCGAAGGAAAUUCGAUGUAGAGGCCCCGCCCCUCGGGGGUGUCACGUGACCGACCUCCAGAGGAAGUCUUCAAACAACGUGACGGGAAGCGAGGGGGCACCACUUUCUUCCACUUCCACCUCCGUGACCUCUGACCCGCCCCCGUCGGCGCGUGAGGAGUGCGCCGAAAGCUACGAUUUCCAGCGUUAGGAUACGCACACGUCACCGCCGUACUGGGGGGGACCUCCUUGGAAUGGACCCCAUCUGAACCCGGUGGAACCCCAAGCACGAACCGUGAAAAGCUAGCGAAAGGCCUUUGGUGCGCUCAUCUUUCAACGUUUUCUUUUCUUCUUCUGACAAAAAGAGACCCGUUGCAGGAAGGAGGGAGGGACGGAGGGAAGGAGGGAAGGAGGGAAGGCUAUCUUUGCGACGUCUCAUGCGAAAGAAAAGACAUCGUAGACACGCUGCUGGUCUCUGGUCCUGUUCUGCCACUGCAGGCCCAAGACUUUGGUCCUGGUCCACACCGGGGACGUGGCAACCUGCGGCGUGAGCGCGUUGGCUUCCUCCCGCCCGGAAAACGCAGGUGCAGCAGGAAGAGCGAGGUCAAUCAAGCUGCUUCCGGGUCACUUUGGCGACUGAUAAAAACGUGCACCAGCUGCUCUCGUGUGCCGGGCGGGCGGCGCCACCAAAUCUUUUCUUUCGCCGUUUCCCGAUUUCCACAAUUGACAUUUGUCGGGUGAGCGGGUGAGCGUGUUGUUAUUUUGUUGAGUCCCCCCCAACACACACACUUUGGGCUUCACAGUGCCACCAUUUUUUACGACAACAACCUUCAUCGCGGCGGCGGAAUGUUUCGCGUUUCAGUACACACGCGCGCGCCAGAGGUGUGUGCGUCUCGGUGAAAGGCUGCGGAAAAAGUGGCGUAAAAAGCGGAACGUUGCGAAAAAGCCAUUAAAAGACAAAAAGGAAAAAGCGGAACGUCGUGAAAAAGCCAUUAAAAGAAUAUUUUGGCUGCCCCCCACCCUCG